GCUUUUCUUCCCGUGUUCCCACAUAGUGAUUAAUCUUCCCAGUGUUUGAAGGUGGGGAACAGCUGCCUUGGGGCUGCACGGAGGAGGAAGAUGCCUCAGAAGCUUCGUCCUCCCCGAAACAUUCCCCUCUGGGCCACGGGCUGCAGAAAGCUGGGCCACAAAUUGGGCUCCACGCCACGGUGAGGUGUCAGGAAUCCUCCAGAGGUGGCCCCUUGUUCUGUCACCGCCGCGCUUGUUCCUCGGGAGGUAAAGGAGCCCUUCCUCUCUAAAGCUGGCAGUUCCAGCAGGUUUUGUUGUCACUAUCUGUACUUUGUAGUAGCUGUCAACAGAGUUUGGGUGUCUGGUUUACAUGCUGAGGCUGUGCUGUUUUGAGGAUGCUUUUAGAUGUUCUAUCCCUUUCCAUUACAAUGAAACAAGGCUGGGUUGUUGGGUUGAUUUCCUUUUCCUAC